GGGCGUGGUUUGACUGUACUAAAUCUGAUUGGUUUGAGACUCUAUCAGUCAUGGUAGCAGUAGCACUACAGGCUUUUAGAGAUACGUAAUUUAAUAACUGUUACUGGUGAGCUGUCAUUGACGUCGAAUGAUCAAGCUAAUUUUUUUAAAAUCUGAAACUAACUAGUAGCAGGUGUCUUCAACCACGCUCAAAGAGUCAGCCAUCCAGCCUUGGUCUUUUUUCUAUUCGAUUUGCGGCAAAACCGAAACGUCUGAGCAAUUAGGCUACUGGUUGAUUUGCAUCUUGUAACAACACUAUUUCAUUGCACACAUGCAGGACACAGCAUCACCAAGAAUCAGAUUCAUUACGCGUUUCACGGAUUUCCAGGAAGACCUAUAACGAAAGAGGCCAGCCAUGGAGGACAGGAGACUUCCCCCUACAGUGCCCUUAGUGGUCAAAACUGAGCCAGACACAGAGACCCGUAGGGUGAGAGAGGAGGAACAGCCUACCAUUCCCAUCAGGGUUAAAAAAGAGGACCUCUCUGAAGUGCCCCUCAAAGUGCCCAGAUUCAAGUACGUGGACUUCCCUUCGCUACACCAGUGCAUCCAGCAGCUCACUGUGCCACCCCUGGACAGCUGGCUGGAAGGCUUUCCCCUGGCUCUGGGAAGACCCUCUGGAGGACACACCCCUGUCACUUCCAAGGAGAGAGUUCCCAAGUUUCGGUAUGUAGAUUAUCCCUCCCUGCACCACUGCAUCCAGCAGCUGUCUGUGCCGCCUCUGGAGAGCUGGAGCUCGGGGUUGGCCAGGUCAGGGUGUGGGGUGACAGGUGGACCUGGAUCCACCAACCCUCAGCCCAGCUCUGUGAGGGAGAAUCAGACAAUACAGGGAGAUGGUUCAGCAUCGGCUCACAAACAGGACAAGUAUACUGCUUUCCCCUUUCCUGGUCCUGACUCCGGCUCCAUCCAGUGUGUGACCUCCUCAAACAAGGCAUCCCAUAAGCCUCAGCGGCUUCAGCUGCGCUUGAGCAGUCCAACCGGAACCAGGCCCGCAUUAAGCUCACAGGGGGAAGAGGCUCGCCAUAAGGUGGUGUGUUCAGAUCAGCUGUCUCAAAAGUUCUCUAAUCCCAAAUCUUGGGUUGCUGGAAUGAAGCGUGUCAGAGGAGCGGGCCCACUCCAUCAGAGCAAUAGGAAGUCAGCUGGUGAUGAUGAAUGGCAUGCAGACCUAAAGAAAACUCCACAAAGUCAUCAAGAGGCCCAAGUAAAGCUAAGUGACUCUCCUGACCUAGGACAAGGGUUUUGGAGAACCAUCCCAGAGUCUGUCUGCCCCUUUUGCCAAAAGAUGUUUUCAGAUCCAGAGGAAUUGCGGAUCCACCAGAAGAGUCACAGAGAAAAGGUGAAUCUGUACUACCCUGAAAAUGUUCUGGAUAUGUGACAAAUCCUUCUUUAACUGAUCAAAUUGUGUAUCAAACAAUGAUGAAUCUUGUCUCAUGUGUGUCAUAUAAUUUCAGAAGCCUCAUUGAUGUCUUGACCAAGGAAAUGUACAGCUGACAACAAUGAACAUCUUAAAAACUGUGCAUCUACUUCAGUACUUGCUACACAGGCGUGGACUAGGGCUGGCUUCUCCACAAAUGAUUGGUCACCUGAUAAGAUUUCCACUGAGGUUGUUUUGAGUGUUCAGUGUUAAUCUUGAUGACCUAAGUGACUGACUAUAAACAAACCACUUUAGCUAAGGGCUUCAUUCAUAAUUCAGUCUAGGAAUUAAGCUCUCAAUGUGAAAAACUGACCUGCAGUGGCUCUUGGUGGUCUUACAACUCCUUAUUUACCUAUGGGUUAAUUUGCCAGGAGGUGGUACACAUUAGAUGAGAUAGAACAAGGAAAUGAGCCAUUUGAUGUUGUUUAAAUUAAAAUGUCAGGAAUUAGAUUGAAAUGCAAUGCAGUGCAUACAUUUUUGUAUUACUGUAGUUGAGAAUUAGACUUUCAUUUAUUUUCCUUAAAAGGGAUGCCAAUGUUUUCCUGUUUACAAGCUGUUCUUGGCAGAAACAUUAAUAAGUGGGGGUAUCAGCACCUUGUUCACUGGAGAUGGCUGCCUGUUCCAAUAUUUCAACAUAAUUAUCUAGAUUUGGGUGCCUAUAAAACCUUUAACUUUUGGCUUAUGCUGCGAAACAACACAUGCUUCUUUAUAAUUUCUUAUCUAAUGUUUUUAUGCUUUGUAUUUUAAUGUUUCUUUUUUACCAUGACAAUUAUAUGUAUAUUAUUGAUUGUAUUGUCUAGAAAUAACUUUAAACUUUUCUUAAACUUUGUUUUAAAUUCUGUGUGCAUUAAAGAUUUUCUAGUAAAGAUGACUCUACUUUACAUCUCCAACAAAUGCUUUACACUUACAAG
rnacentral:lncRNA from 1 species